AUACGUGCCAGCAGCCGCGGUAAUACGUAUGGUGCAAGCGUUAUCCGGAUUUACUGGGUGUAAAGGGAGCGUAGACGGAGAAGCAAGUCUGGAGUGAAAGCCCGGGGCUCAACCCCGGGACUGCUUUGGAAACUGUUUGUCUAGAGUGCCGGAGAGGUAAGCAGAAUUCCUAGUGUAGCGGUGAAAUGCGUAGAUAUUAGGAGGAACACCAGUGGCGAAGGCGGUCUGCUGGACAGCAACUGACGCUGAGGCGCGAAAGCGUGGGGAGCA
rnacentral:rRNA from 1 species